rnacentral:rRNA from 1 species
UCAGGAAUAGUCGGCAAUGGGCGAAAGCCUGACCGCGCGACACCGCGUGUAGGAAUAAGGUCGAAAGAUCGUAAACUACUGUGGUAUAGGAAGAAGUCCGCAAGGAUUGACGGUACUAUACUAGAAAGGGGCCGCUAACUGCGUGCCAGAAGCGUCGGUAAGACGUGGGCCCCAAGCGUUAUCCGGUAUUAUUGGGCGUAAAGGGUCGUGUAGGCUGUUAUAUAAGUUACCUUUUAAAGUCAGAGGCUCAACCUUUGAAAUGGGGGUAAUACUCUAUAACUAGAAUUUCCUUUAGGGUAAGCGGAACUGAGGGAGGAGUAGUGAAAUGCGUUGAUACUCUCGGGAACACCAGUGGCGAAGGCGGCUUACUGGAAGGAAAUUGACGCUGAGACACGAAAGCUAGGGUAGCGAAGCAGAUUAGAGACCUGCGUAGUCCUAGCCUUAAACGAAUGUUUGCUAGCUGCAUGAUUUCAAUUUAUUGAUUUCGUGUGGCGAAGGUAACCCGUUAAGCAAA